AGGUUAACCGUAUAGGGGAGCCGUAGGGAAACCGAGUCUUAACUGGGCGAAUGAGUUGCAGGGUAUAGACCCGAAACCCGGUGAUCUAUCCAUGGGCAGGUUGAAGGUUGGGUAACACUAACUGGAGGACCGAACCGACUAAUGUUGAAAAAUUAGCGGAUGACUUGUGGAUGGGGGUGAAAGGCCAAUCAAACCGGGAGAUAGCUGGUUCUCCCCGAAAGCUAUUUAGGUAGCGCCUCGUGAA
rnacentral:rRNA from 1 species